UGGGGAAUAUUGCACAAUGGGGGAAACCCUGAUGCAGCGACGCCGCGUGAACGAAGAAGGUAUUCGUAUCGUAAAGUUCUGUCCUAUGGGAAGAUAAUGACAGUACCAUAGAAGAAAGCUCCGGCUAAAUACGUGCCAGCAGCCGCGGUAAUACGUAUGGAGCGAGCGUUGUCCGGAAUUAUUGGGCGUAAAGGGUACGCAGGCGGUUUAAUAAGUCGAAUGUUAAAGAUCGGGGCUCAACCCCGCAAAGCAUUGGAAACUGAAAAACUUGAGUAGUGGAGAGGAAAGUGGAAUUCCUAGUGUAGUGGUGAAAUACGUAGAUAUUAGGAGGAAUACCAGUAGCGAAGGCGACUUUCUGGACACAAACUGACGCUGAGGUACGAAAGCGUGGGGAGCAAACAGG
rnacentral:rRNA from 1 species